UGAACGUCCAAUUGGGGAGUCCAACUUGCGGGAGAAGAAAAUCCAAGAGCAGAUCUUUUUUGAAUUUCUUUUUCUUUUUGCUGACUGUAGACCAAGCCUGGACAGGUGUGAAAUGGUCAGAAGUGGACAGUCAGAGGUGUGAAAGAUGGUCACUACACUGUCAUAUUGAAGGGUCAUUUCAACCACUGGACAUAUUUGUAAGAGCACUUGAAAAUAAUGUCAUGCCUUUGACAAUGGUAGCAAAAAAUGUGAAGCCUUCAGAAGGGUCAGGGAUGAAAGUGUUGGAAAUCAUGACAGUACAUGAAAUUAGUUUUUAAGAAAGUUUAAAGACAAGACUUAUCAGCAGUUCCAAAAAUUGAGAAAACACAUGGGGUGGCGGAAUGUUGCAAUGCUAGGAUGACAGCCUUUGAAUGACUUUAGAGGCAUUUUGUCCAGCGGAACUUUGAAAUUAUUAUAUGCUCAAAG